GAUUCCAAAAGGCAAAAGUGAGAUUCUUGAGAGUGAAAUCGAUGAAACAAAUGGGGCAUUGUUGUUGUGUCUUUGCUUUGGCAAUAAUCAACAACAUGAGGAUAACAACUCAUUUGAUCCCGCAUUCGUGACAAGCUGCCAUAUAUGCUGUCUUUAUGUCAAAACCGGUCCAGUAUGGUCUUGUGCUGUUUGCAUCGACAAUGACUUGUGCAAUGCUUGUUAUCUGAAGGUUGGGAACAGUCAGCAUCCCCAUAGAUUGUAUAAUCGUCCAUCUCCGGCCGAUUGCGAUGAGAAAAACGACGAAGCGAGAUUACUUCAGCGGCUAACAAAAAUGCUUGAUCUUGUGGCGCAUGCAUCACAAUGUCGGGCUGCACUGUGUCCGUACCAUGGUUGUUGAAUGGUGCGGGGGCUUUUCCAUCAUGAAAUACAAUGCAAAACGCGUGCACACGCGGGCUGUGCUCUCUGCAGGAGAAUGUGGUUUCUUCUCCAACUUCAUGCUCGAGCUUGCAAAGAAUCCGUGUGCUACGUUCCACGCUGCAGGGAUCUGAAAGAACUUGUGAGGAUGGAGGAGCAGCAGUCUGACUCACAGAGAGGUGCUGCUAUGGAGGAAUGAUGUGACGAAGAGCUGCUAAUAUAAAGUUUUCCUCCUUUGGUUCCUUUUUCUUUUUCUAUGUUUUUUUUUUCCUAAUAUCAAAUUUUCCUUUUUAGUCUCCCUUUCUGUCACUAUAUUGAAGUAUUUUGGAGAUGUUUGGUUCAUGGAUUAGAAUCAUGAGAUUAAAACCAU